AGUGAACGCUGGCGGUAGGCCUAACACAUGCAAGUCGAACGGCAGCACAGUAAGAGCUUGCUCUUACGGGUGGCGAGUGGCGGACGGGUGAGGAAUACAUCGUAAUCUACUUUUUCGUGGGGGAUAACGUAGGGAAACUUACGCUAAUACCGCAUACGACCUACGGGUGAAAGCAGGGGAUCUUCGGACCUUGCGCGAUUGAAUGCGCCGAUGUCGGAUUAGCUAGUUGGCGGGGUAAAGGCCCACCAAGGCGACGAUCCGUAGCUGGUCUGAGAGGAUGAUCAGCCACACUGGAACGGAGACACGGUCCAGAAUCCUACGGGAGGCAGCAGUGGGGAAUAUUGGACAAUGGGCGAAAGCAUGAUCCAGCCAUACCGCGUGGGUGGAGAAGGCCUUCGGGUUGUAAAGCCCUUUUGUUGGGAAAGAAAAGCAGCAGGUUAAUACCCCGCUGUUCUGACGGUACCCAAAGAAUAAGCACCGGCUAACUUCGUG
rnacentral:rRNA from 1 species